rnacentral:rRNA from 1 species
CUGGCUCAGGAUGAACGCUGGCGGCGUGCUUAACACAUGCAAGUCGAACGGAGUUAAGCGCUGAAUGAGGCUUCGGCGGAUUCUUGCUAACUUAGUGGCGGACGGGUGAGUAACGCGUGAGUAACCUGCCCUCGAGUGGGGAAUAACGUUCUGAAAAGAACGCUAAUACCGCAUAAUAUAUGUUUGUCGCAUGGCAGACAUAUCAAAGAUUUAUCGCUCGAGGAUGGACUCGCGUCCGAUUAGCUAGUUGGCGGGGUAACGGCCCACCAAGGCGACGAUCGGUAGCCGGACUGAGAGGUUGAACGGCCACAUUGGGACUGAGACACGGCCCAGACUCCUACGGGAGGCAGCAGUGGGGGAUAUUGCGCAAUGGGGGGAAAAACCCCCUGACGCAGCAACGCCGCGUGGAGGAUGACGGUUUUCGGAUUGUAAACUCCUUUUAUAAGGGACGAACUAAGACGGUACCUUAUGAAUAAGCUCCGGCUAACUACGUGCCAGCCGCAGC